CCUACGGGUGGCAGCAGUGAGGAAUAUUGGUCAAUGGACGAGAGUCUGAACCAGCCAAGUAGCGUGAAGGAUGACUGCCCUAUGGGUUGUAAACUUCUUUUAUAUGGAAAUAAAAUGUUCCACGUGUGGGAUUUUGUAUGUACAAUAUGAAGAAGGCACGGGUAACUCCGUGCCAGCAGCCGCGGUAAUACGGAGGAUCCGGGCGUUAUCCGGAUUUAUUGGGUUUAAAGGGAGCGUAGAUGGAUGGUUAAGUCAGUUGUGAAAGUUUGCGGCUCAACCGUAAAAUUGCAGUUGAAACUGGCAGUCUUGAGUACAGUAGAGGUGAGCGGAAUGCGUGGUGUAGCGGUGAAAUGCUUAGAUAUCACGAAGAACUCCGAUUGCGAAGGCAGUUCACUGGACUGCAACUGACACUGAGGCUCGAAAGUGUGGGUAUCAAACAGGAUUAGAUACCCGUGUAGUC
rnacentral:rRNA from 1 species